AUUGAACGCUGGCGACAGGCCUAACACAUGCAAGUCGAGCGAGCGGCGGACGGGUGAGUAAUGUAUGGGGACUGCCCGAUAGAGGGGGAUAACUACUGGAAACGGUAGCUAAUACCGCAUACUAUCGGAUAACCCAUAUGGGAGGAGCUAGUCGGUGAGGUAAUGGCUCACCUCGGCGACGAUCCCUAGCUGGUCUGAGAGGAGGAUCAGCCACACUGGGACUGAGACACGGCCCAGACGCCUACGGAGGCAGCAGUGGGGAAUAUGGCACAAUGGGCGCAAGCCGGAUGCAGCCAUGGCGCGUGGAUGAAGAAGGCCCUAGGGUUGUAAAGUACUGUCAGUCGGGAGGCGUUACCGACAGAAGAAGCACCGGCUAACUCAGUGCCAGCAGCCGCGGUAAUUC
rnacentral:rRNA from 1 species